rnacentral:rRNA from 1 species
UACGUAGGUGGCGAGCGUUGUCCGGAUUUACUGGGCGUAAAGGGAGCGUAGGCGGACUUUUAAGUGAGAUGUGAAAUACUCGGGCUCAACUUGAGUGCUGCAUUUCAAACUGGAGGUCUAGAGUGCAGGAGAGGAGAAUGGGAUUCCUAGUGUAGCGGUGAAAUGCGUAGAGAUUAGGAAGAACACCAGUGGCGAAGGCGAUUCUCUGGACUGUAACUGACGCUGAGGCUCGAAAGCGUGGGGAGCAAACAGG